CGGUCGGAAACGACCGCUAAUACCGAAUGCGAUGGCGCAGGGCAUCCUGCGUCUAUCAAAGCGGGGGAUCGAAAGACCUCGCGGUUCGAGAGAGGCCCAUGCGAUAUCAGCUUGUUGGUGAGGUAACGGCUCACCAAGGCUAAGACGUCUAGGCGGAUUGAGAGAUUGACCGCCAACACCGGGACUGAGAACUGCCCGGACUCCUACGGGAGGCUGCAGUCGAGAAUCUUUCGCAAUGGGCGCAAGCCUGACGAAGCGACGCCGUGUGUGUGAUGAAGGCUCUCGGGUUGUAAAGCACUUUCGCCCCCGAACAAGAGAAUUCGGCUAAUAUCCGAACAAUUUGAGAGUACGGGGUAAAGAAGCACCGGCUAACUACGUGCCAGCAGCUGCGGUAAUACGUAGGGUGCAAGCAUUAAUCGGAUUUAUUGGGCGUAAAGGGCGCGUAGGCGGGAAGGUAAGUCGGAUGUGAAAUCCCGGGGCUCAACCCCGGAACGGCAUCCGAAACUGCUUUUCUUGAGGGUAGGCGGAGAAAACGGAAUUCCACAAGUAGCGGUGAAAUGCGUAGAUAUGUGGAAGAACACCGGUGGCGAAGGCGGUUUUCUAGCUUACACCUGACGCUGAUGCGCGAAAGCAAGGGGAGCAAACAGGAUUAGAUACCCUGGUAGUCCUUGCCGUAAACGAUGUAUACUUGGUGUAGCCGGAAUCAACCCCGGCUGUGCCGUAGCUAACGCGUUAAGUAUACCGCCUGGGGAGUACAGUCACAAGGCCGAAACUCAAAAGAAUUGACGGGGACCCGCACAAGCAGUGGAUCAUGUGGUUUAAUUCGAUCCACGCGAAGAACCUUACCCGGGCUUGACAUGCAGCGGACAGCGCAGGAAACUGCGCCUUCCUUCGGGACCGCUGCACAGGUGCUGCAUGGCUGUCGUCAGCUCGUGCCGUGAGGUGUUGGGUUAAGUCCCGCAACGAGCGCAACCCUUAUCGUUAGUUGCCAACAUUUCGGAUGGGAACUCUAACGAGACUGCCCGGGUUAACCGGGAGGAAGGUGAGGAUGACGUCAAGUCCGCAUGGCCCUUAUGUCCGGGGCUACACACGUGAUACAAUGGCCGGUACAAAAGGCAGCGAAACCGCGAGGCGAAGCCAAUCCCUAGAACCGGCCCCAGUUCGGACUGCAGUCUGCAACUCGACUGCAUGAAGAUGGAAUUGCUAGUAAUGGCGAGUCAGCUACACCGCCGUGAAUACGUUCCCGGGUCUUGUACACACCGCCCGUCACAUCAUGGGAGUCGGUUUUACCCGAAGCCGCCGACUUGACCGAAAGGAGAGAAGCGU
rnacentral:rRNA from 1 species